GACGAACGCUGGCGGCGUGCUUAACACAUGCAAGUCGAACGGAAAGGCCCUGCUGUUGUGGGGUGCUCGAGUGGCGAACGGGUGAGUAACACGUGAGUAACCUGCCCUUGACUUUGGGAUAACUUCUGGAAACUGGGGCUAAUACCGGAUAGGAGCGCCUGCUGCAUGGUGGGGGUUGGAAAGUUUCGGCGGUUGGGGAUGGACUCGCGGCUUAUCAGCUUGUUGGUGGGGUAGUGGCUUACCAAGGCUUUGACGGGUAGCCGGCCUGAGAGGGUGACCGGCCACAUUGGGACUGAGAUACGGCCCAGACUCCUACGGGAGGCAGCAGUGGGGAAUAUUGCACAAUGGGCGGAAGCCUGAUGCAGCAACGCCGCGUGCGGGAUGACGGCCUUCGGGUUGUAAACCGCUUUCGCCUGUGACGAAGCGUGAGUGACGGUAAUGGGUAAAGAAGCACCGGCUAACUACGUG
rnacentral:rRNA from 1 species